UAAGGAUUUAGCGUCAGAACCUGUAGAGUUGUGAGGAUGAUGUCCAUGGUUAGUGUUGGUCUGAUGUGUGUAGCGGCCGUGUGGUGGUCAGCCCCGCAGCUAAGCACGGGUCAGUUAAUUAACGUCGACUUGAGUCAGGGCGUUAAUUACACCACGCCCAUCUACUGCAGCGCUGCGGUCAGUGGGUUGACCGUAUGUAAGCCGUCGGCCUGCUACUGGUCAGGGUCAAGGUCACAGUGUUGUAUGUACCGGAACACAUCAGCGAGUGGGAUACUGUUUGACCAGUGCCUGUGCAACAACAACGUGAACUGUAGCGUAGUAACAUCAACAACAACAGCGACAACAACAGCGCCGUUUGUGUACACCGUUCCGCUUUACUGCCCAGAGACAAGCUACGCGACCACUUACAUCAAAAGCUGUCUCUACCACGACGCUUGCUUGAACUCGACCACCAGGAGCAGCUGCUGUUCUAGGGUGACCUGGGCGAACAAUGCACUGGUCACGGUAAAUAUGACAGUCACAGCUACAUGUCACUGCACAGCUGAUGUACCUUGUGUUCAAUAAAAACACAGUCAACAAUGUCAAGUUUACAUCUGUGUAUGAUGAUUGCAAAAUAAUUAUCUCAAGUUCAACUCUAUCAAUAAAAUAUUAUAUUUCUGCAA